rnacentral:rRNA from 1 species
UACGGAGGGUGCAAGCGUUGUUCGGAAUUACUGGGCGUAAAGAGUGCGUAGGCGGCUUGGCAAGUUGGAAGUGAAAUCCCGGGGCUUAACCUCGGAAUUGCUUUCAAAACUGCUUAGCUAGAGUAUGGUAGGGGAUAGUGGAAUUCCUAGUGUAGGAGUGAAAUCCGUAGAUAUUAGGAGGAACACCAGAGGCGAAGGCGACUGUCUGGGCCAUUACUGACGCUAAGGUACGAAAGCGUGGGGAGCAAACAGG